GUUCUCACUUCAGCAGCACACAUACUAAAAUUGGAACGGUACAGAGAAGAUUAGCACGGCCCUUGCACAAGGGUGACAUGCAAAUUGGUGAAGGAUUCCAUAUUUUU
ensembl:snRNA U6 U6 spliceosomal RNA